AGCUCGAGUUUCUCUUCAUUGUCGCAUAAAUCUUUCGCCUUUUACUAAAGAUUUCCGUGGAGGGGAACUUUGGCGAGUGACCUGUAUUUUGGGUGCUCUGCUCACUGCAGAGCU
rnacentral:snRNA from 1 species